rnacentral:rRNA from 1 species
AUUGAACGCUGGCGGCAGGCUUAACACAUGCAAGUCGAGCGGGGUGAUGGUGCUUGCACUAUCACUUAGCGGCGGACGGGUGAGUAAUGCUUAGGAAUCUGCCUAUUAGUGGGGGACAACAUCUCGAAAGGGAUGCUAAUACCGCAUACGUCCUACGGGAGAAAGCAGGGGAUCACUUGUGACCUUGCGCUAAUAGAUGAGCCUAAGUCGGAUUAGCUAGUUGGUGGGGUAAAGGCCUACCAAGGCGACGAUCUGUAGCGGGUCUGAGAGGAGGAGCCGCCACACUGGGACUGAGACACGGCCCGGACGCCUACGGGAGGCAGCAGUGGGGAAUAUUGGACAAUGGGGGGAACCCUGAUCCAGCCAUGCCGCGUGUGUGAAGAAGGCCUUAUGGUUGUAAAGCACUUUAAGCGAGGAGGAGGCUCUUUUGGUUAAUACCCAAGAUGAGUGGACGUUACUCGCAGAAUAAGCACCGGCUAACUCUGUGCCAGCCGCCGCAGUAA